UAGAGUUUGAUCCUGGCUCAGGAUGAACGCUAGCGACAGGCUUAACACAUGCAAGUCGAGGGGCAGCGGGGUAGUGCUUGCACUACUGCCGGCGACCGGCGCACGGGUGAGUAACACGUAUGGAACCUGCCCGCAGCAGGGGGAUAAGCGGAAGAAAUUCCGUCUAAUACCGCGUAACAACGUUGGGAGGCAUCUCCCGAUGUUUAAAGAUUUAUCGGCUGCGGAUGGCCAUGCGGCGCAUUAGCUAGUCGGCGGGGUAACGGCCCACCGAGGCGACGAUGCGUAGGGGUUCUGAGAGGAAGGUCCCCCACACUGGUACUGAGACACGGACCAGACUCCUACGGGAGGCAGCAGUAAGGAAUAUUGGUCAAUGGACGCAAGUCUGAACCAGCCAAGUAGCGUGCAGGAUGACGGCCCUCCGGGUUGUAAACUGCUUUUAGUUGGGAAUAAAAGGGGGCUCGUGAGCCCCGUAUUGUAUGUACCAUCAGAAAAAGGACCGGCUAAUUCCGUGCCAGCAGCCGCGGUAAUACGGAAGGUCCGGGCGUUAUCCGGAUUUAUUGGGUUUAAAGGGAGCGUAGGCCGGCUUUUAAGUCAGCUGUGAAAGUCCGCGGCUCAACCGUGGAAUUGCAGUUGAAACUGGAGGCCUUGAGUGCACACAGGGAUGCCGGAAUUCAUGGUGUAGCGGUGAAAUGCUUAGAUAUCAUGAAGAACUCCGAUCGCGAAGGCAAGUGUCCGGGGUGCAACUGACGCUGAGGCUCGAAAGUGCGGGUAUCAAACAGGAUUAGAUACCCUGGUAGUCCGCACCGUAAACGAUGAAUACUCGUGUCCCGCGAUAUAUUGUGGGACACUUAGCGAAAGCGUUAAGUAUUCCACCUGGGGAGUACGCCGGCAACGGUGAAACUCAAAGGAAUUGACGGGGGCCCGCACAAGCGGAGGAACAUGUGGUUUAAUUCGAUGAUACGCGAGGAACCUUACCCGGGCUUGAAUUGCAGAGGAAAGAUCCAGAGAUGGUGAUGCCCUUCGGGGCCUCUGUGAAGGUGCUGCAUGGUUGUCGUCAGCUCGUGCCGUGAGGUGUCGGCUUAAGUGCCAUAACGAGCGCAACCCCUUUCCCUAGUUGCCAUCGGUUCUAGCCGGGCACUCUGGGGACACUGCCUCCGCAAGGAGUGAGGAAGGUGGGGAUGACGUCAAAUCAGCACGGCCCUUACGUCCGGGGCUACACACGUGUUACAAUGGGUGAUACAGAGGGCCGGCCGCUGGCAACAUCGGUCCAAUCCUUAAAGUCAUCCUCAGUUCGGACUGGGGUCUGCAACCCGACCCCACGAAGCUGGAUUCGCUAGUAAUCGCGCAUCAGCCAUGGCGCGGUGAAUACGAUCCCGGGCCUUGCACACACCGCCCGUCAAG
rnacentral:rRNA from 1 species